rnacentral:misc_RNA from 1 species
AAGUCGUAACAAGGUUCCCGUAGGUAAACCUGCGGAAGGAUCAUUAACACGUAUCCAACGUUAAACAACCCUGUGAACCUUCAUUCCUGCUCUCCUCGAGCCCUAACAAAGGCAAUCCUUGGUAAAUCAUGCAAACAGUUUGAUUCAAGGACUCUCUUGCUAGCCCUCGUGGAUUUGAUGCGGUCGUCACAACUUAGGCUUGGCUUUUGCAGGGCAGUUAGUGGGUGAAAGUACCACUGAUUGAUUACCGACACCUUGCGUUAAGCAAGAUGCGGAUCAUCGAGUGCCCACACGGCCGAUGAACGUCUCUGGGCACAAGCCCCCAAAUUAACUACGUCUAAACCUUAGCUGAACAACUGUUAACAAUGGAUAUCUUGGUUCUC